ACACCAGCUACGUAUCUAAGUAAUACCGUAGCCUCUAUUCUAUUCUAGCAAAAAUAUUAGUGUAUAUAUAGCUGCGGCUGUUGCAAUUUGCUAUGCUAUUUAUAUUGCAUCUAAUUUAAAGUAAAGUUCUGAAACAGCGAAGCAUAAGAAAGAGAGAGAGCCCUGAAGCUGAAGUGUGCACGAGCAACAUCCGAGACUGGGAUAUUAGAAUUUGAGUGCUGACUCUGAAGCCUAACUUGGGUUGGUCUCUCUCUCUCUCACACUCACACGCUUUGUGCCAUAACACGAUGACUGAGAACGGUGGCAGCAAGAAUCAUCAACAAUCAUUUGAAAUCUCCGUUGACAUGAUUCCACAGGGAGGUUCCAAGUGCUAUGAUGACGAUGGACGCCUCAAACGAACUGGCACUGUGUGGACUGCAAGUGCUCACAUAAUAACCGCUGUUAUUGGUUCUGGGGUGUUGUCUUUGGCAUGGGCCAUAGCUCAGCUUGGUUGGGUAGCUGGUCCUUCUGUUAUGGUUCUCUUCUCUUUUGUCACCUACUAUGCCUCCACUCUUCUCUCUGCUUGUUACCGUUCUGGUGACCAAGUUAGUGGCAAGAGAAACUACACUUACACGGAUGCUGUUAGAUCGUACCUUGGUGGUGUUAAGGUCAAGUUCUGUGGGUUGGUUCAGUAUGCAAAUCUUUUUGGAGUUGGAAUUGGGUACACUAUAGCAGCUUCUAUAAGCAUGAUGGCAAUUAAAAGGUCUAAUUGUUUUCAUAGUAGCGGAGGGAAAAAUCCAUGCCAUAUGAAUAGCAAUGUUUACAUGAUUUCUUUUGGUAUUGCGGAAAUUAUUUUCUCCCAAAUUCCAGACUUCCAUGAGUUAUGGUGGCUCUCUAUUGUAGCUGCUGUUAUGUCCUUCACGUACUCAACUAUUGGGCUUGGCCUUGGUAUUGGCAAAGUUAUAGAAAACAGAAGAGUUAGAGGAAGCCUAACUGGUAUAAGUAUUGGAACUGUGACACAAACCCAAAAGGUUUGGAGAAGCUUUCAAGCUCUUGGAAACAUAGCAUUUGCCUACUCCUACUCAAUGAUCCUUAUAGAAAUUCAGGAUACAAUUAAAGCCCCUCCAUCAGAGUCAAAAACAAUGAAGAAGGCUACUUUUAUCAGUGUUGUAGUGACAACCCUUUUCUACAUGCUUUGUGGUUGUUUCGGCUAUGCUGCUUUUGGAGACGCAAGCCCUGGAAACCUUCUCACUGGUUUUGGCUUCUAUAACCCAUUUUGGCUCCUUGACAUAGCCAAUGCUGCAAUUGUAAUUCACCUUGUUGGUGCAUACCAAGUUUACUGCCAACCCCUUUUCUCAUUUGUUGAAAAAGUAGCAGCCGAAAGAUACCCAAAUAGUGAUUUUGUGAACAAAGACAUUUUAGUGCCAAUCCCUGGUUUCAAACCCUUUAGACUCAACUUCUUCAGAUUGGUUUGGAGGACAAUUUUUGUGAUCAUAACCACUAUAAUAUCCAUGCUCCUACCAUUCUUCAAUGACAUUGUGGGGCUUAUUGGAGCUAUUGGAUUUUGGCCUCUUACUGUGUAUUUCCCUGUGGAGAUGUAUAUAGUACAAAAGAAAAUACCAAAGUGGAGCUUAAAGUGGAUAUGCCUACAAAUGCUUAGUGUUGCUUGCCUCAUAAUUACAAUAGCAGCUGCAGCAGGUUCUGUAGCUGGAGUUAUUGUUGAUCUUCAAACUUACAAGCCAUUCCAUAACAGCUACUAGUUGAGUUGGAUUACUUAGUGAUCACCAUUAUCAAUGAUUUCAUUAGCAAUUAGUAAAAAAAAAAAUUAAAUUCUUGCUCAUAUGAAAUCUAUAGGAAGGUGGUCUUGUGUAUUGCGUAGUCGCCUUGUAUUUUCUAUUUCUCUUACUUUGUAACUUGCUCUCUAUUCCGAGUUUCCAAUGAGAAAUGGAGGAAAUUAAGCAAAAGCUUUCAAAAUUUCAAAGCUUUUCUGUAGCUAAGUUUGUGAGACUCUGACUCGAGCACUUGUCCUUCACACUUUAUACCCUGUUUGGCAUAAAGAGGUCGUAAGUAUACUUUGGGUGCGUUUUUAUGCCCAAAUUGAUAGAAGAUUAGAAUUUCGCAGCAGUCAGAAUGCCCAGACCCUUCCAACAAGCACGGGGUGCUUUGAGCCCAUGUACGGUCGUGCUCAAGGCCUUGCACUGCCGUGCUUAUCUGUUGGAAGUCCAAUUAUGAAGAGUCUUUAGGGUUUUCAAACCCUAUUAAAAAGGAGAUCUCAAGCAUUGUAAAAGAGGACCGUUUUGACACUUCUCAUCUCCUUUCUUGUGCACAGAAUCCUUGACAUAUGUUUGGCGGGACUUAAAGCUUCGAGCAAUCCUAUUUGAAGACCGAGAACUCAUCUCAUUCUAGUUUACUUUUCUUUAUGACUUUAUUUAUGAUUAUUUUAGUUCUUUUCUUUAGUAUGAGUAACUAAGUCCAUAGUUAGGGCUAUAGAAACUAUUGUUCAUGAAUUUAUGAGGUUUUGACGUU